rnacentral:rRNA from 1 species
UACGAAGGGGGCUAGCGUUGCUCGGAAUCACUGGGCGUAAAGGGCGUGUAGGCGGGUAGAUAAGUCGGGCGUGAAAUCCCUAGGCUCAACCCAGGAACUGCACUCGAAACUUCUUUUCUUGAGUGCCGGAGAGGAAAGCGGAAUUCCUGGUGUAGAGGUGAAAUUCGUAGAUAUCAGGAGGAACACCAGUGGCGAAGGCGGCUUUCUGGACGGUAACUGACGCUGGAGACGCGAAAGCGUGGGGAGCAAACAGG